UAGUGCUUCUUGCCGUGCGUGUCGAUUCCAAGCAAUGAGUGGGGAGAGCACCAGGGAUAAUGAUUGUUUCUGUCCCCGGGUGGACGAAKGUGCCUGGUCGCAUCCAUUUGUGGGCUGAAACAGAUGGUGGCUGGUUGCAGCGCCCUGUGCCUGCUAGCAAGUUGGGGUGCAGCCCUGA
rnacentral:rRNA from 1 species